ACGAACGCUGGCGGCGUGCUUAACACAUGCAAGUCGAACGGAAAGGCCCUGCUUGCCGGGUGCUCGAGUGGCGAACGGGUGAGUAACACGUGGGUGAUCUGCCCCUUACUUUGGGAUAAGCCUGGGAAACUGGGUCUAAUACUGGAUAGGACCAUGCUGUAGGUGGUGUGGUGGAAAGAUUAGUUUCGGUAAGGGAUGAGCUCGCGGCCUAUCAGCUUGUUGGUGGGGUAAUGGCCUACCAAGGCGUCGACGGGUAGCCGGCCUGAGAGGGUGGACGGCCACAUUGGGACUGAGAUACGGCCCAGACUCCUACGGGAGGCAGCAGUGGGGAAUAUUGCACAAUGGGCGCAAGCCUGAUGCAGCGACGCCGCGUGGGGGAUGACGGCCUUCGGGUUGUAAACUCCUUUCAGCCAUGACGAAGCCCUUGUGGUGACGGUAGUGGUAGAAGAAGCACCGGCUAACUACGUA
rnacentral:rRNA from 1 species